rnacentral:siRNA from 1 species
ACCAUCGCCUAACGCGGGUAAUGG